AGAGAAGCAAUACCGCGAGGUGGAGCAAAACUUCAAAAAUGGUCUCAGUUCGGACUGUAGGCUGCAACUCGCCUACACGAAGUUGGAAUUGCUAGUAAUCGUGGAUCAGCAUGCCACGGUGAAUACGUUCCCGGGUCUUGUACACACCGCCCGUCACACCAUGGGAGCUGGUAACACCCGAAGUCAGUAGUCUAACCGCAAGGAGGACGCUGCCGAAGGUGGGAUUAGCGACUGGGGUGAAGUCGUAACAAGGUAGC
rnacentral:rRNA from 1 species